rnacentral:pre_miRNA from 1 species
AAAGUUCUGUGACACUUAGACUCUGAAUAUGAAAGCAGUCAGUGCACUACAGAACUUUGU